rnacentral:rRNA from 1 species
AUUGAACGCUGGCGGAAUGCUUUACACAUGCAAGUCGAACGGUAGAGGGGCAACCCUUGAGAGUGGCGAACGGGUGAGUAAUGUAUCGGAACAUGCCCAGUCGUGGGGGAUAACGUAGCGAAAGUUACGCUAAUACCGCAUACGAUCUAUGGAUGAAAGCGGGGGAUCGCAAGACCUCGCGCGAUUGGAGUGGCCGAUAUCAGAUUAGGUAGUUGGUGGGGUAAAGGCCCACCAAGCCGACGAUCUGUAGCUGGUCUGAGAGGACGACCAGCCACACUGGGACUGAGACACGGCCCAGACUCCUACGGGAGGCAGCAGUGGGGAAUUUUGGACAAUGGGCGAAAGCCUGAUCCAGCCAUUCCGCGUGCAGGAAGAAGGCCUUCGGGUUGUAAACUGCUUUUGUACGGAACGAAACGCGCUGUGCUAAUACCACGGCGUAAUGACGGUACCGUAAGAAUAAGCACCGGCUAACUACGUGCCAGCCGCCGCUGUAA